AGCGAACGCUGGCGGCAUGCUUAACACAUGCAAGUCGCACGGGCAGUAGCAAUACUGUCAGUGGCGGACGGGUGAGUAACGCGUAGGAAUCUAUCCUUGAAUGGGGGACAACCGUGGGAAACUACGGCCAAUACCGCAUGAUGCCUGAGGGCCAAAGACGAAAGUCGUUUGAGGAGGAGCCUGCGUCUGAUUAGGUAGUUGGUGGGGUAAAGGCCUACCAAGCCCUACGAUCAGUAGCUGGUCUGAGAGGAUGAUCAGCCACAUUGGGACUGAGACACGGCCCAAACUCCUACGGGAGGCAGCAGUGGGGAAUAUUGGACAAUGGGCGCAAGCCUGAUCCAGCAAUGCCGCGUGGGUGAAGAAGGUCUUCGGAUUGUAAAGCCCUUUUGGCGGGGACGAUGAUGACGGUACCCGCAGAAUAAGCUCCGGCUAACUUCGUG
rnacentral:rRNA from 1 species